ensembl:lncRNA
AGAGAACCAUAUUUUCAGACCAGUUUUGAAAGGAUCCUACAGAUGAGAUUUAUGUAACUGUGCUAUUGAUUUUAAAGGAUGUUUCUGCAGUAGAGUGGUUUGUACAUAAGAGGAAUGAAUACUACUGUGCUGCAACAAGAACAGAAAGUCCAGAAAUCCCACUUUGAAGGACUCUGCACACAAAGAAGAAACUGCCUAAGGAGGACAAGUGGCGACUCAGGUAAGCCAAAACCAAAUGAUUAAUGAGUGAAACAUGCAAAAUAAAUUGUAUUCCUCCUGGCAACCACAGCAGACCAACCAACUAUGUUCUCUCAAGAAACACACAUUAAAAAAAAUGCAAAGAAAGUUCUUCC